UCAGAUUGUGGAGUACAGUGUUUUCAUCUCUUUUUUUUUUUUCUAGCUGAAUCUCAAAAUCCUUUUGUAUUUGUAGCGUAGCUCAAGGUUGUUGUUUGUUUUGGUUUUUUUUUGUUUUUUUUAACGUGUCCUCUUGACUUCUGUCCUCUUGUCAUUCUCCGGAGUCUGUGGACUCUGUCCUCUUGUCUCUCACUCUCUAUCCCUUUCUGUUGUGGAUGUCCGUGGCCUCACUGUUGGCAGCCCUGCUGUGGAUUACAGUAAGUCAUAUUGAUCCUGAACAGUCGCAACGGUAAAGUGCUGGUGUCUGCAGCGUGAGGUCAUUUCACUCCGGUGAACUCUGCAGCCAGACAUGAGGACAGACAGGGUAUUGAACCACAGUGAUAAAUCAGCCAAAACUAUGUUCAUAUAUAUGUGCUAAUGGUGAAAUAUAUAUAUAUAUUUAUAUAUAUUUAUCAAAAAUGAUUCUGACAAUCAGAACCGACACUGACCAAACCGCUUUGUUGAUGUUCAUAUGCCGAGAAACCUGCUUUUUCUUUGAGCACUGCUGUGUGUGUGAAACAUUCAGGAAUGUCCGUUGCUCAUGUUUUAUACAUUUUCUAUACCAAAAAAAAAUGUAUAAAAUAUUUUUAAAGAAAACGAAAAAAAAAAGAAAAAGAAAACAUGAAUUAAAAACCCUCUCAAUUCACUGAAUCUCUGCUUUAUUUUUUGUUUUUAACGUUUUGUCGAAGGUGAAUUUCUUUUUGAAGAAGGUCAAUAACGAAGGUAAUGUCAUUGCUUUUGUGUUGUGUUUUUUUUUUUGAGUACACAAAAAUAGCCCAAAUAGGGUUAUUAAGUUACUCGUAAUGGACGAGGAAAGCCAAAAAAAAAUUGUAUUUUUUUUUUAACUCAAAAGCUCAUUUGAAAUUGGUUGAAAAUAGAAUCCAAAUAAUACGGUUUGAAUCGGAGUAAACACAAUAAAAAAAUAAGUCAUAUUUUUGAAAAGUAAAAGGUUGUAAAAAGGAACUGACUUUUUUUUUUACAUAUCCUGCAGACAGAUUGUUGUGAAAAGGAACAAAGUUUGAUGUUUCAGAGAUGUUUUUUUUUUUUCUAAGAAAACAAUGAGCCGACCGUCACUCGUAUGAUCCUUUGACACCGAGCACAGACGCACGGCAGGUAACGACGUUUUUUCUUUUCCUUGUAGUACUCUCUCUUCUCUGCUGCAGAACAGUUCCAGUUCCUCAGCCCCCUCUUCAUUUGCAAUCCAGUCUCACUCUCCUCUGCAAACUCACCCUUUUUCAUCUCCCGUCUCCCUCAUCUGUAUUGAGGGUAAACUGCGUCAGCUGCUCCACACCCAGCAUCCCACUCCCAAUUCCUUUCACCCUUUUGGUUAGUACUGACCAACCACCCCACCUCCACACUGACAGUAUUUGUUGUUAUGGUGAUGAGUUGAUGGUUUGGAAAGUAAAACAGUUCAGAUGUUUUUUUAUAAAGCUGUAAUUUCUAAUUUCAUGUUUCAGAAUUACAUUUUUAACUUGUGUCAAACUCAAGGUCCGGGGUCCAAAUUUGGGCCCGCUGAGUCAUUUUGUAUGGCCUGCACUCUUACAGUUACAACUAACCCUUCUGUGAGCUCGGUCUGUUUCCUGUUCCUGCUGUCUGCUGUGGGGAGGUCCCGCCUGCUUCCUACCAAACGUAACACCGUCGAGAGGCGGCACUUUUUUUUUUUUUUUUUUUGCUGAUGUGGCUCCCCUCCUCUGAUUGGAAAAUAAGUUUGACAUCGCCCUGUUUUAACCGAUCUGCGUCUGGGUCCUCCCUCCCUGGUGGUUUCAGUAGCUACGUAAACAAGCUCGUCUUGAUCCGGAUGGACUGGAUAAUGCUGGCAACAUUGGAACAAAGAUGACUUGACUUGAGGGUCAGACGGAGGUGGAGCUGAGCAGGAGGCCGGCCUGACGAACGUCAACACGACAGUCGCUGACAGCAGGAUGAUUCCGGACAUCACGGGCGAAACGUUGACCUGCGACCUCCGUGUCGGCAGGUUCAUUCAGCUCGAGAUGAUGGGGGUCAGAGUUUCUCACCACUCAGAGGAGAAGGAUGAAUCCAAUGGAUCGGCAUGUUUUGGCAGAUCUCCCAGAUCUUUGAAUCCUGAAGGAAGUCCAGGUUAACCACAGGUUCCUCUGCGGGAACCCACACCUGAGAGUCCUCCACCUUGAGGUCAUCUGUCUCAUCUGUCUUCUGCUGGGAGAAAGAGGAAACUCGGUCUACAGCAACACAUUGUUUACACGGCAGCUGUGGUUUUUCCUCCCUCAGCCCUGGAGCUUUUAAAUAUUACACCCAACAACACAGAGGAGGGGGCCGGAUUUGUUAUGGAGUCUAACAGGUGGUGGAGUGGAGGUUGCAAAAGAGAGGCGUGACCACGCGGGGGAAAAAUGGCAGAAGAAGAGUUAUUACCAUGAACAGCACAUUAAAACAGCCGUGUGGGAUUAUUUUGGCUUCUGAAGGAAAUGACCAGUGGAUGACGACCUGACAGCAUAUAAAACAUGCCAUGAAAAAUGCGGUGGAAGGAGGAAAUACAUCCAAUAUAUUUCAUCACCUGCAGGACAACCAUCCAACUUUGUUCGCCAAAGUAAAGGUAAAUACACAAUACUUGGAUUAAAUUAUGCCAAUGUUUUCUGAACGUAACAUUGAAUCGGUAGAACAUUCAACGUAAGCGUGUCAUUUGCAAUUAAUUGUUUCCGAGUACGAAACGGGUACGGAAACGUGCGUUCACCUAAUAUUACAGUAUACGUCACCUAUUUGAACAUAUCGUGAGGGCAAUUACUUUUUUAAAAUUGCAUUUUAGUUUGUCUUUUUUUUUUUGUCGGACAGUUUCCGGGUCAGUGAGCAGUGACCUGUUCUCAGUGUUCUCAGUCAGUGAACAUAUAGCAUUGGUUCCUUUAGCUUUUUCCAAUGAGUAAACGUAGGGUUUUUGCUUCCACUAUGGGAUAUCUGUUUAAUUUAUUAUUAUUAUUUGUCUAUAUCAGGUAUAAAUAUUAGGUCAUAAUUAAUUAAUAAUUUAAUAAUAAUUUGUGUAAUUGACUUUAGGGAAAAGUGGAGGUCAUGUAGCACUUCAUAUCUGUUUUCUCUGAGAGAAAUACAUGAUUUUUAUUUUAUUACAAUGGGAUUAUUGUCGAUUUUCUCGUACUUUUUGGUUUCUUGAAUUUGUUGCAAUGUAUUUUUGUUAUGUUGUUGUUAAAUAAAGGAAACUUUAAGACCUA